AUUGAACGCUGGCGGCAUGCCUAACACAUGCAAGUCGAACGGCAGCCCGGGUGCUUGCACGUGGCGGCGAGUGGCAAAGGGGUGAGUAAUACAUCGGAACAUGUCCUGUAGUUGGGGAUAGCCCGGCGAAAGCCGGAUUAAUACCGCAUACGAUCUACGGAUGAAAGGGGGGGCCCGGCGGGCCUCGCGCUAUGGGGUUGGCCGAUGGCGGAUUCGGUAGUUGGUGGGGUAAAGGCCUACCAAGGGGACGGCCGGUAGCCGGCCUGAGAGGACGGCAAGCCACAUUGGGACGGGGACAGGCCCCAGACCCCUACGGGAGGCAGCAGGGGGGAAUUUGGGACAAUGGGGGAAAGCAUGACCCAGCAAGCCCGCGUGGGUGAAAAAGGCCUCGGGGUUGUAAAGCCCUUUUGCCGGGAAAGAAAUCCUUGGCUCUAAUACAGUCGGGGGAUGACGGUACCGGAAGAAUAAGCACCGGCUAACUACGUG
rnacentral:rRNA from 1 species